rnacentral:tRNA from 1 species
GGCAACAUAGUUGAUUAACAACAUUAAAUUGCAGAUUUAAAAGUGUACUACGAUACUGAUGCCU